GAUGAAGAACGUAGCGAAAUGCGAUAAGUAGUGUGAAUUGCAGAAUUCAGCGAAUCAUCGAAUCUUUGAACGCACAUUGCGCCCCUUGGUAUUCCAUGGGGCAUGCCUGUUCGAGCGUCAUUUGUACCCUCAAGCUAUGCUUGGUGUUGGGUGUUUGUCCUCUCCUUUUGCGAUUGGACUCGCCUUAAAGACAUUGGCAGCCAGUGUAUUGGUCUUGAAGCGCAGCACAUUUUGCGAUUCUUGCUGAUAAUCACUAGCGUCCAGUAAGCCUAUUUUAACACUUUUGACCUCGGAUCAGGUAGGGAUACCCGCUGAACUUAAGCAUAUCAAUAAGCGGAGGA
rnacentral:misc_RNA from 1 species